UUUUCUUAAUAGAGAUUGUACUUAAUAUGGAUUCAUUAUAUAUCCUGAUGCUGAAUGAAAAGUUAUUAAUAAAAGCUUCCCAGGAGAAGGCAAGUUGUCUAAACAAGUGGCAAUAUAAUAUAUAAUCAUUAAUGGCAUUUUAAGUACUGUAUAGUCUAUUUGGAAAAUGUUAUUCUUUUGCUGGAGAGUAUGUUUAUGGAUUAACAAACCUGACAAGGAAUGGAGUUGCUGACUUGUGGUAUGAAGCUUGUACUUUUAAAUUUUAACUAAUGGACUUGUAUGACAUGCUUGAUUGAGCAGUGACACUACAUGCAGUACAGGUAUAUUAUACUAACUUGUAAAUAUUCUACAUUGAAG